GAUGAACGCUAGCGGCAGGCUUAAUACAUGCAAGUCGAGGGGUAGCAAGAUUGUAGCAAUACAAUUGUUGACGACCGGCAAACGGGUGCGGAACACGUACACAACCUUCCUACAAGUGGGGAAUAGCCCUGAGAAAUUUGGAUUAAUACCCCGUAACAUAGCGAUGUGGCAUCACAUUGCUAUUAUAGCUUCGGCGCUUGUUGAUGGGUGUGCGGCUGAUUAGAUAGUUGGCGGGGUAACGGCCCACCAAGUCUACGAUCAGUAGCUGAUGUGAGAGCAUGAUCAGCCACACGGGCAAUGAGACACGGGCCCGACUCCUACGGGAGGCAGCAGUAAGGAAUAUUGGACAAUGGACGCAAGUCUGAUCCAGCCAUGCCGCGUGAAGGAUUAAGGUCCUCUGGAUUGUAAACUUCUUUUAUAAGGGACGAAAAAAGGUCUUUCUAGAUCGUCUGACGGUACCUUAUGAAUAAGCCCCGGCUAACUUCGUGCCAGCCGCCGCGGUAAAAC
rnacentral:rRNA from 1 species